rnacentral:rRNA from 1 species
UUAGAGUUCGAUCGCGCUAAGGACGAACGCUGGCGGCGUGCCUAACACAUGCAAGUCGAGCGAAGAUAUAGCAAUGUAACCUAGCGGCGGACGGGUGAGUAACGCGUGGGCAACCUACCUCAAACUGGGGGAUAACACAGGGAAACUUGUGCUAAGACCGCAUAACAUCAUGAAAUGACAUCAUUUUAUGAUCAAAAGGAGCAAUCCGGUAAGAGAUGGGCCCGCGUCCAAUUAGCUAGUUGGUGGUGUAACGGACCACCAAGGCGACGAUUGGUAGCCGAACUGAGAGGUUGAUCGGCCACAUUGGGACUGAGACACGGCCCAGACUCCUACGGGAGGCAGCAGUGGGGAAUAUUGCGCAAUGGGGGAAACCCUGACGCAAGCAACGCCGCGUGAAGGAUGAAGGUUUUCGGAUCGUAAACUUCUUUGAUGAGGGACGAAAGCAAUGACGGUACCUCAAAAACAAGCCACGGCUAACUACGUGCCAGCAGCAGC